AGUGAACGCUGGCGGUGGGCCUAACACAUGCGAGUCGAACGGCAGCACAGUAAGAGCUUGCUCUUACGGGUGGCGAGUGGCGGACGGGUGAGGAAUACAUCGGAAUCUACUUUUUCGUGGGGGAUAACGUAGGGAAACUUACGCUAAUACCGCAUACGACCUACGGGUGAAAGCAGGGGAUCUUCGGACCUUGCGCGAUUGAAUGAGCCGAUGUCGGAUUAGCUAGUUGGCGGGGUAAAGGCCCACCAAGGCGACGAUCCGUAGCUGGUCUGAGAGGAUGAUCAGCCACACUGGAACUGAGACACGGUCCAGACUCCUACGGGAGGCAGCAGUGGGGAAUAUUGGACAAUGGGCGCAAGCCUGAUCCAGCCAUACCGCGUGGGUGAAGAAGGCCUUCGGGUUGUAAAGCCCUUUUGUUGGGAAAGAAAGGCAGCAGGUUAAUACCCCGCUGUUCUGACGGUACCCAAAGAAUAAGCACCGGCUAACUUCGUG
rnacentral:rRNA from 1 species